UACGUAGGGUGCAAGCGUUGUCCGGAAUUAUUGGGCGUAAAGAGCUCGUAGGCGGUCUGUCGCGUCUGCUGUGAAAACUCAGGGCUUAACCCUGAGCUUGCAGUGGGUACGGGCAGACUAGAGUGCGGUAGGGGAGACUGGAAUUCCUGGUGUAGCGGUGGAAUGCGCAGAUAUCAGGAGGAACACCGGUGGCGAAGGCGGGUCUCUGGGCCGUAACUGACGCUGGAGGAGCGAAAGCAUGGGGAGCGAACAGG
rnacentral:rRNA from 1 species